AUUGAACGCUGGCGGCAGGCCUAACACAUGCAAGUCGAACGAGUGGCGGACGGGUGAGUAAUGUCUGGGAAUCUGCCCGAUGGAGGGGGAUAACUACUGGAAACGGUAGCUAAUAGCGCAAACCAUCGGAUGUGCCCAGAUGGGAUUAGCUAGUGGGUGGGGUAAUGGCUCACCUAGGCCACGAUCCCUAGCUGGUCUGAGAGGAGGACCAGCCACACUGGAACUGAGACACGGUCCAGACUCCUACGGGAGGCAGCAGUGGGGAAUAUUGCACAAUGGGCGCAAGCCUGAUACAGCCAUGCCGCGUGUAUGAAGAAGGCCUUCGGGUUGUAAAGUACUUUCAGCGGGGAGGCGUUACCCGCAGAAGAAGCACCGGCUAACUCCGUGCCAGCAGCCGCGGUAAUUC
rnacentral:rRNA from 1 species